CCUAGUGAGUCCUCCGGGGAGUGGCCAGUGGGGCCAGGCCCCAGGUCAUGGCUGGGCGGAGCCGUCCUGUAGUCCCAGGCAAGGACAGAAGCGUUCUUUCUGUCUCCACUUAAACUCUGCUCAACACAGAUGUUCUGUGCUCGUUUUGAUUUUUUUCACGUUGCCUUUAGAUAGGACUCACAUCGGCAGCUACGGUGCUUGGCACCUCCCUGGCACUGGGCACAGAGAGAAGCAUGUUGCUCUGCCUGCCUGCGCUGGCUCUGCCUGUGGGCGGUGAACAGCUGGGGCCCUCAGCAGGGAUGGAGACAAGUGCCCCCUGAUGCUGGCCUGAGCCUCGUCCCAAGGGCCACAUGGCUCAGCUGCCGAGGGUAAGGCCAGGUCCUCUGGUCUCAGGUGCUCACACUCCCGUACCCCCACCCCUGUGGGCCGAGAGUCCUGGGGGCCCUGGGGCAUGGAGGGCCAGACAAAGUCUUCAGGGUGAGCCAGGCCUGGGUCUGCACAACUGAACCAGGAAGAUUGAGACGGGGGAGCUACAGCGCCAGGGCCCUCAGGGCCACGUCACACCUGCGUUCGGGGCCCUGUGUGAGUGUGCUGCAGCUGCCCUAGGAGGCGUCACAGACUUGGAAGCUUAAAACACACUAAUGCAUCAUCUUGAGGUUCUGGAGGCCAGAAGUCUGCACUGUGUCUCGCUGAGCUAAAGCCAAGGAGAGCCCGGUGGUGCCUGUGCUGGACUUAGAAGAACAGGUGGGGGCUUCAGUGAAGCCGCCCUCCAGCUUCCUCUGACUGGCGGCUCUUCUCCCACCUUCAAGGGAGGCGUGGGUGGUCCGGUCUCCCAUCACCCCUCUGGCUGUCGCUCUCCUGCCCCUGACCCUGGAUGAGGCAGGAUCAUCUCCCUUAGGCCAGCAAUCCAGGGAAACCAGCCUUCUUCCCUCUGCCAGUGGAAGUCUGGACACAAGAGAGACACCAGGAAUACAGGAACGCAGGGAAAGACCACGUGGGGACUCAGCAACAAGACGCCCUGCCAGCCAUGCGGAGCGGCCUCACGAGGAACCUGCCCUCUCACGUCUUCACCUUGGACUUUUAGCCUUCAGAACAAUAAAAAAUAAAGUUCUGCUUAAGCCGA